rnacentral:rRNA from 1 species
GAUGAACGCUGGCGGCGUGCCUAAUACAUGCAAGUCGAGCGAACGGACGAGAAGCUUGCUUCUCUGAUGUUAGCGGCGGACGGGUGAGUAACGCGUGGAUAACCUACCUAUAAGACUGGGAUAACUUCGGGAAACCGGAGCUAAUACCGGAUAAUAUUUUGAACCGCAUGGUUCAAAAGUGAAAGACGGUCUUGCUGUCACUUAUAGAUGGAUCCGCGCUGCAUUAGCUAGUUGGUAAGGUAACGGCUUACCAAGGCAACGAUGCAUAGCCGACCUGAGAGGGUGAUCGGCCACACUGGAACUGAGACACGGUCCAGACUCCUACGGGAGGCAGCAGUAGGGAAUCUUCCGCAAUGGGCGAAAGCCUGACGGAGCAACGCCGCGUGAGUGAUGAAGGUCUUCGGAUCAUAAAACUCUGUUACUAGGGAAGAACAUAUGUGUAAGUAACUGUGCACAUCUUGACGGUACCUAAUCAGAAAGCCACGGCUAACUACGUG